rnacentral:rRNA from 1 species
UACGGGGGGGGCAAGCGUUGUUCGGAAUUACUGGGCGUAAAGUGUGCGCAGGCGGCCGCGCAAGUCGAGUGUGAAAGCCCCGAGCUUAACUUGGGAAUUGCGCUCGAAACUACGUGGCUGGAGUGUGGCAGAGGAAGGUGGAAUUCCACGUGUAGCGGUGAAAUGCGUAGAGAUGAUGGAGGAACACCAAUGGCGAAGGCAGCCUUCUGGGCCAACACUGACGCUCGAGUGCACGAAAGCGUGGGGAGCAAACAGG